UCUCAGUUCGGAUUGUAGUCUGCAACCCGACUACAUGAAGCUGGAAUCGCUAGUAAUCGCGGAUCAGCAUGCCGCGGUGAAUACGUUCCCGGGUCUUGUACACACCGCCCGUCACACCAUGGGAGUUGGCAACACCCGAAGUCGGUAGUCUAACCGCAAGGAGGACGCCGCCGAAGGUGGGGUUGAUGAUUAGGGUUAAGUCGUAACAAGGUAAC
rnacentral:rRNA from 1 species